UUUUACCUGAGAUCGCGUUAGGGAUAGAAGCGGUAUCUCCCGAUUUAGCGGAUAGCCCGUUCGCCG
rnacentral:sRNA from 2 species